UCUCCCAUGGAUGCCUGACUAAUUGGCAGAAGUAGCACUUCAAUUACUGCAGCACACCUUCUCUGCACACAGACUUCACCUGCUUUCUUAAAACAACUUCAGGCUUCUCACAGCUUGUCUAAAGACAGAAACAGGAGUAAAUAAAUGGUUGUGCACACAUAC